rnacentral:rRNA from 1 species
GAUGAACGCUGGCGGCGUGCCUAAUACAUGCAAGUCGAGCGAACAGACGAGGAGCUUGCUCCUCUGACGUUAGCGGCGGACGGGUGAGUAACACGUGGAUAACCUACCUAUAAGACUGGGAUAACUUCGGGAAACCGGAGCUAAUACCGGAUAAUAUAUUGAACCGCAUGGUUCAAUAGUGAAAGACGGUUUUGCUGUCACUUAUAGAUGGAUCCGCGCCGCAUUAGCUAGUUGGUAAGGUAACGGCUUACCAAGGCAACGAUGCGUAGCCGACCUGAGAGGGUGAUCGGCCACACUGGAACUGAGACACGGUCCAGACUCCUACGGGAGGCAGCAGUAGGGAAUCUUCGGCAAUGGGCGAAAGCCUGACGGAGCAACGCCGCGUGAGUGAUGAAGGUCUUCGGAUCGUAAAACUCUGUUAUUAGGGAAGAACAAAUGUGUAAGUAAAUAUGCACGUCUUGACGGUACCUAAUCAGAAAGCCACGGCUAACUACGUG